rnacentral:rRNA from 1 species
CGUGAGGGAUGAAGGCUUUCGGGUUGUAAACCUCUUUCAGCAGGGACGAAAAUGACGGUACCUGCAGAAGAAGCUCCGGCCAACUACGUGCCAGCAGCCGCGGUAACACGUAGGGAGCAAGCGUUGUCCGGAUUUAUUGGGCGUAAAGAGCUCGUAGGCGGUUCGGUAAGUCGGGUGUGAAAACUUGAGGCUCAACCUCAAGAGGCCACUCGAUACUGCUGUGACUGGAGUCCGGUAGAGGAUGUGGAAUUCCUGGUGUAGCGGUGAAAUGCGCAGAUAUCAGGAGGAACACCGACAGCGAAGGCAGCACUCUGGGCCGGUACUGACGCUGAGGAGCGAAAGCAUGGGGAGCGAACAGGAUUAGAUACCCUGGUAGUCCAUGCCGUAAACGUUGGGCACUAGGUGUGGGGUCUAGCUAACAGAUUCCGUGCCGCAGCUAACGCAUUAAGUGCCCCGCCUGGGGAGUACGGCCGCAAGGCUA